AGUGAACGCUGGCGGUAGGCCUAACACAUGCAAGUCGAACGGCAGCACAGUAAGAGCUUGCUCUUACGGGUGGCGAGUGGCGGACGGGUGAGGAAUACAUCGGAAUCUACUUUUUCGUGGGGGAUAACGUAGGGAAACUUGCGCUAAUACCGCAUACGACCUACGGGUGAAAGCAGGGGAUCUUCGGACCUUGCGCGAUUGAAUGAGCCGAUGUCGGAUUAGCUAGUUGGCGGGGUAAAGGCCCACCAAGGCGACGAUCCGUAGCUGGUCUGAGAGGAUGAUCAGCCACACUGGAACUGAGACACGGUCCAGACUCCUACGGGAGGCAGCAGCGGGGAAUAUUGGACAAUGGGCGCAAGCCUGAUCCAGCCAUACCGCGUGGGUGAAGAAGGCCUUCGGGUUGUAAAGCCCUUUUGUUGGGAAAGAAAAGCAGCAGGUUAAUACCCCGCUGUUCUGACGGUACCCAAAGAAUAAGCACCGGCUAACUUCGUG
rnacentral:rRNA from 1 species